rnacentral:rRNA from 1 species
GACGAACGCUGGCGGCGUGCUUAACACAUGCAAGUCGAACGAUGAAGCUGGAGCUUGCUCCGGUGGAUUAGUGGCGAACGGGUGAGUAACACGUGAGCAAUCUGCCCUUGACUCUGGGAUAACUGCGGGAAACUGUAGCUAAUACCGGAUACGAGACCUGAAGGCAUCUUCGGGUCUGGAAAGAAUUUCGGUGAAGGAUGGGCCCGCGGCCUAUCAGCUUGUUGGUGAGGUAGUGGCUCACCAAGGCGACGACGGGUAGCCGGCCUGAGAGGGCGACCGGCCACACUGGGACUGAGACACGGCCCAGACUCCUACGGGAGGCAGCAGUGGGGAAUAUUGCGCAAUGGGCGAAAGCCUGACGCAGCAACGCCGCGUGCGGGAUGACGGCCUUCGGGUUGUAAACCGCUUUCAGCAGGGAAGAAGCCGCAAGGUGACGGUACCUGCAGAAGAAGCACCGGCUAACUACGUGCCAGCCGCCGCAGUAA